rnacentral:rRNA from 1 species
CCCUUAGAUGUUCUGGGCUGCACACGUGCUACACCGGCAGGUUCAGCGAGCUUCAUGCCCUGAUCUGAAAGGAAUGGGAAAUCUUUUCAAAACCUGCCGUGCUUGGGAUAGAUGUUUGCAAUUAUUCAUCUUCAACGAGGAUUGCCUUGUAAGCGCACGUCAUCAGCGUGCAUUGAAUACGACCCUGUAUUCUGUACACACCGCCCGUCGCUCCUACCGAUUGAAGUUUUCGGUGAGUUGACAGGAGGAUUUUUUUGAAACUGGUUCGCCAGUGGAUUUUAGAUCCAAAUGCCAACGAAUCGAUGGCUUUAGAGGAAGGAGAAGUCGUAACA